rnacentral:rRNA from 1 species
UACGUAGGUGACAAGCGUUGUCCGGAUUUACUGGGCGUAAAGAGCGCGCAGGCGGUCGGAUAAGUCGAAUGUGAAAGCCCCUGGCUCAACCAGGGAGGGUCAUUCGAUACUGUUCGACUCGAAGGCAGGAGAGGGAAGCGGAAUUCCCGGUGUAGUGGUGAAAUGCGUAGAUAUCGGGAGGAACACCAGUGGCGAAGGCGGCUUUCUGGCCUGUUCUUGACGCUGAGGCGCGAAAGCUAGGGGAGCAAACGGGG